GCUUGUUUCAGUAGCCCAUAUACUAAAACAGGAACAAUGCAGAGAAGAUUAGCACAGCCCCCGCACAAGGCUGACACAUAAAUUCAUGAAGGAUUAGAGACAAAA